CUCACUCAGACUCUCUCGUUCUCACAUUUUCGCCGGAAAUCGCUUCCGCCGCGCCGGAGGCGGCGGAGCAUGACGUUACACUUAAUAACAUAUAAAAUCAUGACCUCUGUUUCCAUCUGAACCCUACCCCGACCUCAAUUUCACAGAUAGAACACUCUAAUCGCCGCAGAUAGACAAGGGGAAAUAUGAACCCUAAGUUCUUAGUAUCAACGAUUUGCAAAAACGCACGGGAUUCAGGAAAUUUAAAGAAGGGCGAAGGAUGGACUAGCAUCAGCAAUGAUAAAGCAUUAAGAACACGCAAGAAGGAGAGUUCUGAAGAUUUACCUGAAGUGCCGAGAUAUUUUGAGUUGAGAAAACCAGAGAUGAUCCAAGCCUGCACGCAAUUGAAAGCGAGUAAUCUUCAGGUGAACUAUUAAUCUCUCGGUUCUUUCUGUUCACUUCUUCUUCUUCGCUUUCUUUUUCUGGAAUUCUGAGAUUUAUGCCGUUGCUUGUGUGUUGAGUGAGAGUUGUCGUGUGGAGAGUCACGGUGAGGUGGUAGAGACGAAGAAGAGUGGUUUAGCACACCUUCACUCAGAGUUCAAGGGAGGAACUCUGAGUGAGGCUUGUGGUUGUGCUCUAAUGGUGGUGAGGGUGGAAGACGAGCGUGGAUGUGAUGGAGAAGAGAGGUUGCCAAAGUGAAGGUUGGUGGAUUCUGAGUGAGAGUGAGAAAGAUGAAGAUGAAGUGAGAUUGAUGAAUAGAGCAUGAAGAAAGUGGUGGGUGAAGAAUGGUUGAAGCCAGAGAGAGUGAAGUCGUGGAAGGGAAGGGUGAUUGAAGAAGUGAAUUGUGGAGAAAGUUAUCUUUUAUAGCAGUGAGGAAAAUCGAUUCUGCAGGACAGGAUUGUGGGUUUUAUUUGAGCUUCUAUUCAUGACUGCAGAAUUGGUCGGAAUAGUGCAGCAAUUAACUUGCAGCAGAUACAUUGGUGAGGAUGGGCAGAAGAUGAUCUAUGGAAGCUUGAAGGAACAUACUCAUGGUGAAGUUUAGGGUUAGGAACACCAAUGGAUUGAAUUUGGUUUUGUAAUAUACUGUAAUGGUGACACAUUAUGGAUGUAACAGGAUUUGAAAUGUAAUGAUCUUUUUAUGGUUUGUAACAUGUUCAUUAUGGAAGUUCAAAGCAACAUGGAAUAACAAUGACAAUCAUGGAGAAUUGAAUGUAAACAUGAAGGGAUUUGGACUA